UAGGGAGGGUCUCUGAGGAGGCGACAGUGAGCAGAGAACAGAAUGACACAGGGAAACCAAACAUGCCCAGAUUGGAAGACGAGUGGUCCAGGCUGAGGACGAGCAAGAGCAAAGGCCCUGGGGCAGAGGUGGCCUUUGAGAGGGCGCCGGCGCCCACUCCAUCCAGCUGGACCGCGCGGCCCGGGAGACGGAUGCGGGGCGACAGGGAGCGCAGGCGGGCGCUCCGAAGUCAGGGCGCGGGGCUGAGCGGGACGGAACGCAGGAGUGGGCUGCAGCUCCGGGUCCAGGAAGGCAUUUUUAGAGAUAAGUGACAAUAAGAUUCCCAGCCAGUUCGGCACCUCUGUCAAUGGUGUUAAGAAGAUGCCCGGAGCAGCCUGCAGCCAGCGCAAGCCUGCUCCAUCCCAGGCCUCAGUCCUGUCCUCCUCUGUCCUUCCGAUACUGCAGCCGCAUGUCUCUGAACAGGAGCCACGUGCCUCCCUCACGUGGGGCUCAGGCGCUCUCAGUGCUCUCCGGUUAAGGUCCCGACGCCUCCGCGCCUCCACACGGCCUUCGAAGCCCUUCUGCGAUGAGCGCCUGCCCACUUCUCCAACGCAGGGGCUGCAGCCCAGAGUCCACCUGGACCGUUCCACUUCCCCACUGUGCCCUGACCUUGCAGAACCUGAGGCUGCAGACGUGGUUCCCUUUGCCAGGAGCAUCCUUUUCCAUCUCCUUCACCUGCUUCCUCCCGCUUACAUAGGUGCUACCUCCAGCCCCAGCAUCCCUCCCUGGAUUCCUCACCCGUCCUCCUGCCCCAUCCCUGAGAAUCUUUCCCAUUCAUCCCCAGUGGCUCAGGUGGCAAAGUGCAGCGACCCAGAGCCUGGACCUGGAAGUCCUAGCGGGGCUCCUGGAAUCUUACAGGGUCAUCACUUUGUUUCUAAAAGUCAAGACGUUGGAACCAAAUAUAUUUUACAAAAUUCUUUUUCUCAGACUCUUCAUUUCCUCCCUAUUUCCCUUUGUAUUUUGGGAGUCUGCAUGGGGUCAGGAAGGCCUGCUUGAAUCUGGUUCUGGCUCUUCCCAA
rnacentral:lncRNA from 1 species